rnacentral:rRNA from 1 species
AUGUUGGAUUCAGCUUGCUCUUUUCAUGCGACACCCAACAGGGAGUGGUUCUCUUCGUACAAGUCUGGUGAGUUUGGUUUAGCCUAUGUGGGCGAUGACACGGGUUAUCGUGUUGCUGGAGUAGAUGACAUCAAAAUCAAGAUGUUUGACGGAGUUGAGCGGAUGCUUCGGGGAGUCAGGCAUGUGCCAGAGCUAAGGAGGAAUCUAAUUUCGCUUGGAGUUCUUCAUGAUGGUGGUAUGGUAUUUCGUUGUGAUCGGGAUAAGAAGACCAUGAAGACCAUGAGAAUCAUGGAAGAUGAGGUGACCGUGAUGAUUGGAGGGAGGACGGCUUCGCAUCUUUACAAGUUGCAAGGAAGCACUAUUGCA